GUUCAUGCAAGAGAAGAAGGCCUUGAGAGAAGAGAAACUGAAACAAGAGGAAAAGUAUAUGUGGGUUAGCCUUGAUGGUGUCAAAGAGAAGCGAUGGAAGCAGAGAUAGUGGCGAAACCUCAGGCUGUGAAUCCAUGCUGUGUUGUGUUGAAAGAGAAAUACUCAAAGCUGGAAGCCUCACGGAAUGCUCUUCGACAAGGUGUAAAGAUCCAAAAUGAACUCAUUGAUAAACUUCAAAAGG